GACGAACCGUGCGAACGUUGUUCGGAAUCACUGGGCUUAAAGGGCACGUAGGCGGCUCGGCAAAUCGGUCGUGGAAUCUCGACGCUUACCGUCGAAACGGCGGCCGAAAAUACCGGGCUCGAGGGCGUGAGGGGUCACUGGAACUCCUGGUGAAGCGGUGAAAUGCGUAGAUAUCAGGAGGAACGCCGGAGGCGAAAGCGAGUGACUGGCGCGUUCCUGACGCUGAGGUGCGAAAGCUAGGGGAGCAAACAGG
rnacentral:rRNA from 1 species